CGUCAUACUGACAUGUCGAGCUCCAGCUCCAUCCAGACAUCAGAACAACUUAUUUUGGUUUCAAUCGAUCACUGUUGGAUAACUUGUAUUAAACCAAAAAAAAAAACAUGGCGUCAAGUUGUCGAAAACCAGAGCAUAUUGCCCCGCUUAAAAAUGUUCUACAACGAAGAGGAGGCCAAGAAAUAUUUUCAAAAUUCUCGGGUGAUUGAGAUCCAGGGCCAGAUGUCCUAGAGGGCUGUGGAGCUGCUGAACCUGCCUGAGGACCAGCCCUGUAUCCUGCUAGAUGUGUGGUAGUGGUACCGGCCAGUGGACGUCUGAGGGCUCAUUAGGACCCGCCUGUAUCCUGCUAGAUGUGGGGUUCCUCUUGGUCUGUUGGUUUUCAGGAAGCCUACCCAAGGUGAGAAGCCUACCCAAGGUGAGAAGCCUACCCAAGGUGAGAAGCCUACCCAAGGUGAGAAGCCUACCCAAGGUGAGAAGCCUACCCAAGGUGAGAAGCCUACCCAGGGUGAGAAGCCUACCCAGGGUGAGAAGCCUACCCAGGGUGAGAAGCCUACCCAGGGUGAGAAGCCUACCCAGGGUGAGAAGCCUACCCAGGGUGAGAAGCCUACCCAGGGUGAGAAGCCUACCCAGGGUGAGAAGCCUACCCAAGGUGAGAAGCCUACCCAAGGUGAGAAGCCUACCCAAGGUGAGAAGCCUACCCAAGGUGGGAAGCCUACCCAAGGUGGGAAGCCUACCCAAGGUGAGAAGCCUACCCAAGGUGAGAAGCCUACCCAGGUGGGUUUUAUUUCGAUAGACUAUGCAGUCUUGAGUGCUGAACGCUGAUGGUUUGUGUUUUCAGGGGUUGGGGUCAGAGACGGUGGGACGGGAGCGUCCCAAAUCAAGUCCAAUUCACAGGACGGAGAUCUCGCUUUAAGAACAUGAAGGGCAAGUCUGCAAAGAAGGGUAAAGACUGGAUCCUGGAGGGGAGGAGAAGACAGGGCAGGGAGGUCCGAGCUGACAGAACGUACACUGCCCGUCAGAGAAGGCCUCACUCCUGAACCCCAGUCAGUCCUGUAUGUUCCGGCCUGGAGGUUCACCCUUAUGGAAUACUACUGUCCUGUGGACAGAAUCUGGACACAGACGGGCCCCUCUCGAGGACAUGGUCCCAAUCCUCUGGACAGAAACUGGCCCCUCUCUAGGA